GGGGGGAAUGGGCGCCGAGGGGAGGCGCUCGCAGGACCGGGCGGAGCGAGACGUUAGGGUGUGAGCGGGUGGGUCCUGCUUCCUACACGCCGCACCUCGGGCUGCUGGCCGGGGACUCCGCCUCACGCCUCGGACCGUCGUCACGGCCAUGGGCGCUGCAGGGCCCAGGUAAUACAUAUUGAUGCUUCUUCGAUGCAAGCUGAACUGUUUCAUAGCUGAAAGCAUGAAGAUUCAAACCGGAAUUUAAUUUGAACAGAACAUUAUAACUGCAUUAACACAGUCAAGAAUAAUCAUUUUUAGACCAACUGAACAGGUUAAGCGACUCUGUGAUAACAGAGGAAAUUGGAAGCAACUAAUGCUUUACGGCUGUUUGGCAGAAAUUUUGAGCAGGUCUUUUUCUCAUUGAAGCACAAAGUACAGGAUGUCUCAACCUUUUGACCUGUCCAGCACAAAUGUUGUCCUGCAGAAUCAUUUGUGUCCAGUGCUCUACAAGGCAAAGGAAUCGAUGUUGACCUCAGAUUCUGCAAGUCCGGGGCUACUACUACCAGCAGCAUUAAGGGAAGGAGGGAUGGACUUCCUGUGUUCUCUCAUGGCCUCAACUCCUGACCCACCCACACCAAGUUGGACAAAGACAGCAAUUUUGGAGGCUUAAUGCAGAUCCCUGGUUUCAAAGCAAUGCCCAUGUUUCUAGGGGGAGAGGGCAUUGUCCACCUGCCCACCUGUGCUCCCAACAUGGGUUUGCCACAAGUUGCAGAACAAGACCCGUCGCCCAUGCCACAAGACCAUACUCACCAUGACUGGAACAGCAAACCAGUUCAUUGAAUAGCUAGGGAUUCUGAGCAUGUUCUGGCUUGCACUUGAGUGUAAUAAGGGGAGUGUUUUUUAAAUAGCAACCUUGCACUAGACCCAGGGAAUGCGCUGACAAUGGUUGCCUUGUACUUUUCAUGCCUUAUAGCCUUCAGCACAUCCUCCAUACCAGCUGAGAGGCUUUUGCAGAUUAGAAGGUGAAAAAAGAGGACGCAUGAUGAUGUUCACUGAGAUAACAAACACCUGACAGCUGAGAUGGAGCUAAGAGCUUGGAGGAUUUCAUUGUCUGAAAAACUGGACAUGGACCUGGAGAGCAUCCCAGGAGCAUGAGUGUGUCAUGCAGGAAGAGAUGCUGCAGAUUAUGAAGGGCCAAUCAGUUAUGUUGAGACAUCUGGCUGAGCUUCAGGAACAGCAGCUUGAGGCUAGACUUCCUCUGCAGUCCCUACAGAACUGUCUGCAAGCAUCGCCCUGUUCCCAA